rnacentral:rRNA from 1 species
CAAUAGCGUAUAUUAAAGUUGUUGUGGUUAAAAAGCUCGUAGUUGAACCUUGGGCCUGGCCGUCCGGUCCGCCUCACCGCGUGUACUGGCUCGGCCGGGCCUUUCCCUCUGUGGAACCCCAUGCCCUUCACUGGGCGUGGCGGGGAAACAGGACUUUUACUGUGAAAAAAUUAGAGUGCUCCAGGCAGGCCUAUGCUCGAAUACAUUGGCAUGGAAUAAUAGAAUAGGACGUGUGGUUCUAUUUUGUUGGUUUCUAGGACCGCCGUAAUGAUUAAUAGGGACAGUCGGGGGCAUCAGUAUUCAAUUGUCAGAGGUGAAAUUCUUGGAUUUAUUGAAGACUAACUACUGCGAAAGCAUUUGCCAAGGAUGUUUUCAUUAA